GUAAACACAAAUUAGCCCAUAUGGGCGUUUUAACAGCUGACAUGCCCUUUUUCCUCCCAAGCUCAAAACAGGUACUCCCACGAGAUGGAGUAAAACAAGCUAGAACCUUUAUUUUACCCUCGACCUCAUUCAGAUGAACAUUAAGGGGAUGUUGCGGUAGUAAAAUGGGGGUUCUCAAAAAAUAACUGGCGUUGGGUAGAUAGGGAGUGCUGAAUACGCCCAUAUCUAACCCGAGCCAAACAGCUAAAGAACAACUCAGCCGCCAGGUGCCGCCUGCCAUGACCAACAUGGCUGUCACCCCGAGCGACAAUAUCAGUAUAAUUUCUGCACUCAGAUUCAAAAUAUCCCGCGCAAUGUGCGUCCGCGCUGUUUUUCUGUUUGGAGUAGCCGCGCUAGCGCUGCAGGCGCUGCAGAGAAUGCCGCGCCAAACCCGAAACUACGCCACCGUACCGAAACCUCGAAACGCCGCGCCGACGGGUCUUCGGAGUGAGUGCGCUCGAAGCGACCAAGCGGCAGCCAUUACCACCAGCGCCGGCGCAUUGUUCUGCCGUCGUUGGUGUCUCCCGCAGUUUCGAACAGCCAAGACUCCACGACUGCAGCCGUUUCAUUGCCAGCUGUAAGGAUGAAGCAGCUUCAUAGCCGGACAUCAGACGCCUUCCAAGUUCCCCUUUUCAGCAACAGAGGCCUAGGAUGCCAUUCUACCUGUGCUGCAUUGUGUGGCUGACCACUCCAAGGAUCUCAGCAGAAUCAUUACACAGGUGUGUACCUUUGUGAUUCUGACUACGGGUAUUUUUGUAGUUUACAUUUGGUGUAAUUGCACAGAUGAAAUGAAAAACAGAUUAAAAUAUGAGCUGACAGGCACUGUCUCCAAACUUUAGUUACAAAGGCAAAUCUUUUUUCACAGUUGUCUUUAUAGCAAUACAAAAGAACGUGCACAUCAAAACACCAGUGUCUAACAAGCAACAUCAUUGUAGUGUAGAAGAAACCAAAACAUCAUACGAAAACUUGUACUAAAUUAGAGACUAUUAAAAUGUUAUGAGAAACACCAUUUCUUAAGAGCGACAGUUUGUGUAUUGGAGCCUUGAACUAUUUCUCGGGUUACUCUGUCUCGUUUCUUGAACCCAAGUGAUGUCUUUUUCUUUUGGUUAGUGAUUUUACUCAGACCGCUGCAUAUUUUGGCGCAGUCGGCGAUCAAUAUCUGUGACUGCUACAAGUGGCAUGCCGCGCUCCCCGCGACGAAUACUGUGAACAGUACUGUUAUUGCGGCAAAAGUGCCUACAGCUACUUCUGUGGAAGAUCAUGCAAACUGAAUAACCUAUAUAAAAGCAUCAGGUGACUCCGCUAAGAGCCUUUUAUGCCCUAUGCACCAGACUAGGAUGCAAGAUUUAGGUUAUUUUGCAACCAAGACGCCCACAUACAACGCUUAAAACAUGAAUAAUGUGGCGAGUUGGGCACAUUGGUACAUUAUUACGAGAAUUUCAGCGCAAUAAAACAAGGACGACACAAAGAAACGACCAGGACAAGCGCUGAACUUGCAACAGGUUUUAUUGUAGCGAAUUUCACAUAUAU